rnacentral:rRNA from 1 species
CAGUCGCCACGGUAAUACGUAGGGGGCAAGCGUUAUUCGGAAUUAUUGGGCGUAAAGCGCUCGUAGGCGGUUCGUUAAGUCUGUUGUGAAAGCCCCGGGCUCAACCUGGGAAUGGCAAUGGAUACUGGCGAGCUAGAGUGUGUCAGAGGAUGGUGGAAUUCCCGGUGUAGCGGUGAAAUGCGUAGAGAUCGGGAGGAACAUCAGUGGCGAAGGCGGCCAUCUGGGACAACACUGACGCUGAGGCACGAAAGCGUGGGGAGCAAACAGGAUUAGAUACCCCAGUAGUCCCUGUCUCUUAUAU